UUGCGGGCUAGGGAGGCCACCCGAAAACAGAGCUUGCCCCGGCUCUGCUGCCCGCAGAUUCAACCAGGGG
rnacentral:ncRNA from 1 species